AAGUCGGUUGUGAAAGCCUUCCGCUCAACGGAAGAACGGCAUCCGAUACUGCAUGGCUUGAGUGUGGGAGGGGAGAGUGGAACUUCUGGUGGAGCGGUGAAAUGCGUAGAUAUCAGAAGGAACACCGGCGGCGAAGGCGACUCUCUGGUCCAUAGCUGACGCUGAGUGUGCGAAAGCUAGGGGAGCAAACGGGAUUAGAUACCCCGGUAGUCCUAGCCGUAAACGAU
rnacentral:rRNA from 1 species